AUCACACAACACUCUAAAGGCUCAACUACUAGGAAAAAGAAGCUUAUUAUGAUGUUUUGGAGUUUAUAUUAUUGGAUGCAACAACAACAUCUAUGUAAAAUUUAUAUUAUGCCAUUCUCUCAUAGGUUGCCGAUAAUGGAGAGAAAGCUAGGGAGAUACAAGCUAAAGUUCUUGAGCAUGUGGAACUCUUGAAAUCACUUCUAGAGGUUUGACUAUAUUGAACGAGAUUGCUGAGCUUGUGGCCUUGGUUGCAAUUUUGAAUUUUAGAGGAUUCAAGACAAUAAGGAAGAGGCUUUGCUGAUCUUCCAUUCUGAAGAAAAUCAGGUUGGUUCACUCAUCAGUCGUGUCUAGCAUACAAAACUAAUGUGUAGCUAGAGAGAAAAAAAAAAGAGAAGAUUUUUUUAUUCUUAGCAUUCCACUAUUUUGUAUGCUAUGAACCACCAUGAAUUGACCAGCCUAAAAUAGUGGAUCUUAGCAAUCCACUAUUUUAUGCCCAGUAUGCAAUUUCUAAGUUUUUAAAAUAGUGGAUCUGCUUAUUUCCUUAGCUUUCUUUUCUUUCCUGCAAUGCCCUACCAAUUUAAAACUAUAUCAUCUGCAACCACGGGGCCUUGUUGCUAUUGUAGACCUUAUUUAACCAUCAAUUGGAUUAUGAGCCACAAUUAAUUGUUUUAAAUUUCCGUUGUUCUAGGGCUCGCCAUCAAUUGGAUGGUUGGGAUUUUGGAUGGUAUGGUUUUAGUAUUGUUGGACCGCUGGAGGAAUGUCUUGUUUAUUAAUGGCGACAAUAAUUGUGGCCUUGCAAACUCAACCAUCAGAAUAAUUUGGCCUUUUCUGAGAAGGUUUUUGCUUCCAAAAUUUCUUUUUCUAUUACCUAUACACAGCAUCAUAAAGAACUAUUAUGCAUAUUGUAAUUUACAUGAAUAUUUCACAGGUCCUUCAAGCCCAUUCUAGCCAGCUCAUCUCCCACCAACUUUAUGAGGAAUUGAGAAGGUUGCAGGCAUCAUCUGUGCAUGCUAAUCCAAGACUGUAAAAUGGUGGAGCUACAGAUUCAUCAACACAUGAUGCAUCAUAUCUGAUUAUUCACUGGCCUCUUCAGAUCAACAGAAAAUAAUCUUUUGUAGCAUCUUUGUCCAAACACAGUUCAAAAUUACAUUGCGAACCUUGCUGGGAACAAAACUCUAGUUCAGCCUGUGCCUGCAUUUAACGUCAUUAAUGGAGGAUCACAUGGUUUCACUAUUAACCUGAAUUUUGCGAACCUUGCUAGGAACAUAACUCG